GUAUGAGUGCCAGAGUUUAUGGGUUGGUUUUAAGCAUCAAACAAGGGGUUCUCCCCCUCGUAUG
rnacentral:tRNA from 1 species